rnacentral:rRNA from 1 species
UGCAGUCGAGCGAUGGAUUGAGAGCUUGCUCUCAAGAAGUUAGCGGCGGACGGGUGAGUAACACGUGGGUAACCUGCCCAUAAGACUGGGAUAACUCCGGGAAACCGGGGCUAAUACCGGAUAACAUUUUGAACCGCAUGGUUCGAAAUUGAAAGGCGGCUUCGGCUGUCACUUAUGGAUGGACCCGCGUCGCAUUAGCUAGUUGGUGAGGUAACGGCUCACCAAGGCAACGAUGCGUAGCCGACCUGAGAGGGUGAUCGGCCACACUGGGACUGAGACACGGCCCAGACUCCUACGGGAGGCAGCAGUAGGGAAUCUUCCGCAAUGGACGAAAGUCUGACGGAGCAACGCCGCGUGAGUGAUGAAGGCUUUCGGGUCGUAAAACUCUGUUGUUAGGGAAGAACAAGUGCUAGUUGAAUAAGCUGGCACCUUGACGGUACCUAACCAGAAAGCCAC